rnacentral:rRNA from 1 species
AAAACAUUGUCUUAUGAAUAAAAUAUUAGAUAAUACCUGCCCAGUGACACUAUGUUCAACGGCCGCGGUAUCCUAACCGUGCAAAGGUAGCAUAAUCAUUUGCCUAUUAAUUGUAGGCUAGAAUGAAGGGGUUAACGAAAUAAAAGCUGUCUCAAUUAAUUAACUAAAAAUUAUUUUCUAUCUGAAGAAAGGUAGAUAAACUCGAAGGACAAGAAGACCCUAUAGAGCUUAAUUUUAAAUAUAGAACCACACUAUAUUAAUAUUCGGUUGGGGCGACCCAGGGCUAAUUAAUCACCCAUUAAAUAAAAGAUAAAUAAAUCCAAUAAAUGACCCUUUUAAGAUCAUAAAAACAAGCUACCUUAGGGAUAACAGGCUAAUCACACUUAAGAGUCCUUAUCAAUAGUGGGGUUUGGCACCUCGAUGUUGGCUUAGGGUAUCUCUAUAGCGCAAAAGUUAUAUAAAGAUGGUUUGUUCAACCAAUAAUUCCCUACGUGAUCU